UACGAAGGUCCCGAGCGUUAUCCGGAUUUAUUGGGCGUAAAGAGCGCGUAGGCGGAUUGUUAAGUCAGAUGUGAAAUCCGGGGGCUCAACCCGCGGUCUGCAUCUGAAACUGGCAGUCUUGAGUCUGGUAGAGGAAAGUGGAAUUCCCAGUGUAGCGGUGAAAUGCGCAGAUAUUGGGAGGAACACCAGUGGCGAAGGCGGCUUUCUGGGCCACGACUGACGCUGAGGCGCGAAAGCUAGGGGAGCAAACAGG
rnacentral:rRNA from 1 species